rnacentral:rRNA from 1 species
CCUGACGGUAGUCGUAUGCUCGUCUCCGAGACUAAGCCAUGCAAGUCCAAGUACACGUCCUUGAACGACGGAAACUGCGAACGGCUCAUUAAAUCAGUUGCGAUCUACUCGGCGUUCCGCGCCGCCGGAUAACCGUAGUAAUUCUAGGGCUAAUACGUGCGAAGCGCCCGAAGCCGCGAGGCGACGGCGUUCUCGCCGGAUGUAGGAACCGACCCGGGGACCGCCGGGGCAACCCGGCGCCCCCGAGACGGGGCGAACCACGGUGAAAUGACGGAUCGUCGGCCCCGCGCCGGCGACUCGCCGAAUGAGUUUCUGACCUAUCAACUCGAGACGGCGGGGUAGAGGCCCGCCGCGGUAACGACGGGUAACGGGGAAUCAGGGUUCGAUUCCGGAGAGGGAGCCCGAGAAACGGCUACC